CCUAUCCCCUCGUGUGCCUUGCCUCCACGACUAAUUCGCGGCCGCGUCGACGCGCCCGGGGUGAGAGUGGCGAACGGGUGAGUAAUGCGUGACCAACCUGCCCCAUGCACCGGAAUAGCUCCUGGAAACGGGUGGUAAUGCCGGAUGCUCCAGAUGACCGCAUGGGAUUCUGGGAAAGCUUUUGCGGCAUGGGAUUGGGUCGCGUCCUAUCAGCUUGUUGGCGGGUAACGGCCCACCUAGCCAACGAUGGAUAGGGGUUCUGAGAGGAAGGUCCCCCACAUUGGAACUGAGACACGGUCCAAACUCCUACGGGAGGCAGCAGUGAGGAAUAUUGGUCAAUGGGCGAGAGCCUGAACCAGCCAAGUAGCGUGAAGGAUGAAGGUUCUAUGGAUUGUAAACUUCUUUUAUAAGGGAAUAACGGGCGCUACGUGUAGCGCUGUGCAUGUACCUUAUGAAUAAGCAUCGGCUAACUCCGUGCCAGCAGCC
rnacentral:rRNA from 1 species